UACGGGGGCAAGCGUUGUUCGGAAUUACUGGGCGUAAAGGGCUCGUAGGUGGCCAACUAAGUCAGACGUGAAAUCCCUCAGCUUAACUGGGGAACUGCGUCUGAUACUGGAUGGCUUGAGUUUGGGAGAGGGAUGCGGAAUUCCAGGUGUAGCGGUGAAAAUGCGUAGAUAUCUGGAGGAACACCGGUGGCGAAGGCGGCAUCCUGGACCCAACACUGACACUGAUGAGCGAAAAGCCAGGGGAGCAAACGGG
rnacentral:rRNA from 1 species